UAUUCCUCCGCCUUCUCGUGCAGCGCGGCUUCCUGCUGCUGCAGCCUGCGCUGCACGUCCGCGAGACUCCGGCUGAGCUGCCGCGCGCGGCACGCGGUCCUCUCCAGCUCGCCCGGGAGCCUGUCCGAGCUGCCCUCCUCCUCUUCCUCCAGCCGCUCGGGGCCGCUGUUGUCGCCGCCGCCGCCGCCGAGCAGCUGUUCGCGCUCCAGCUCGAGCUCCUCGCUCAGCCUCCGGACGGCCUCGCGAUGCCGCUCGAGAUCCUCCUCGAGCCGGUAAACCGCCUCGCUCCGCUCGAGGUACUCCUGGAGGGGCCCGCCCUCCAGCAGGUUAAACCUUGAAGAAAAAUGCAUUCCAGCCCAAAAAAGAAUGCCUUCAGAGAAAAUGUGUUCAUUUUUUGCUUCAAACUUUCAAAGUUUGUUUUACCACAAGUAACCUGAAGUGAUGAGUGAAGUUCUAAGCUGAUUCUGUGUAAGGCAUCAAGUUAUUAAAUGGAUAAAAUUAUAAGAAUUGCAUGCUUUCGAGGGGGCACUCCAACAGCUCACUACUCACAGGUUUUGUGAUAGCUGUAUAUGUGGUGGAGUCAAAGACAGAGAUGGAAUUAGAAGUGCAAUUUUGUUAUCAACAACAUCAAUCAGGUACUUUGAUCUCAAAAGAACUGAUGGUUUAGACUGUUAAGACUGUAUAAUGAAUUGGUAAAUUCACACUUCAAAUAUUGUGUCUUACUUUGGUCAACCUACCUUCAAAAGUAUAUUGAUGUAUUGGAGAGAGACAAAAAGAAAGAACAAUUUCACAACCUGAAGCUUUAACUUCAGAGCAGAAGCUCCAAGAAAUCAUUCCAAUGCAUUGCAUUUGUGUGAAGAAUACAGAGAAGAUUAGAUGCAGAUAACUGAUUGGCUGCAGAUCACCCCCUUGCGUUUCAGAACUGGACACCACUUGAACUGCCAAUACUCAACAAAUGCCUGUUUAUUUCCCUCUCUCAGACUGGUAUUAAGGAGCCACGGGACUAACUGCAAACCACUCCACAGACUGCAGAAGCAUGGGCUCCUGGACCAACAGGAUGUCUGAGCAUGGCGAAACUGCUGAACUCAUCUCAAAGAAUGCUCUUGACCAACUGUUACAACAUUCUGACUGAUGAGUACCUCCAUGCGCUUCACUGAGGACCAGUCAUUUCUGACUUUGAGACGUUGCCAUUUGCUUGCAGCAUAUGCAAUGUGUUUGCCACGUAAGCUGCUGGUGUGCCCUGAAGCGCAUCUUUAGAGAACAGAAGCAUCCUGCACAUGGAUCAGAAAGAUGCCACAGGGGUUCUGAGAGGCUAGCAGUUGUCAGAUGCCACACUAGCAUCCAGCUGGUGCCCUUGAGCAUACCUCAAGACAUUGUUACAGAGUGCCUAAGAUGACAGCCUGGGAGGUACCAAACAGUGAGCUGAAGUCAGAGAUAGCAUUUCCUGAAUAAGGGUUAGGACCCACAAUGUCAGCUUUCCUGCUCCUCUGAUGCUGCCUGGCCUGCUGUUUUCUUCCAGCUCCAUACGGUUUUAUCAUAGAGCUGAAGUCACUAGGUACCACACUCAUCUUCAUUUGGAAAUUGUCAAUAUCUAGUUUCCUCAUAGCAGCUGACAGAACAAAAGCAGUCCUGAGGAGAUGGGGCAGCACAGCGACACAGUAAUACUUAGCACUCUGCCUCACAGUGCCAGGGAUCCAGGUUCCAUUCCAGUCUUGAGUGGCAUUUGCAUGUUCUCCUAAUGUCUUCAUGGACUUGCGCUGGGUGAUCCAGUUUCCUCCCACAGUCCAAAGAUGUGCAGGUCAGGUGGACUGGCCAUGGAAAACUUGGCAUUAUAGGGGUAGAGUGCGGCUGCUGGGUCUGGAUGGGAUGCCCUUCAGAGGGUUGGUGUGGGCUCGAUGGACUGGAUGACUUGUUGGCUUUAUUUUUUGUAUAUUUCAGUUUAGAUGUGUGUCAACAUUUUUAAAGUACUUCUAGUAUUAUUUGCCAUUUCACAAUCAGUAUUUUUUAAAAAGAAACAAGAAAUUUAAUUGAUUGGUUCGGUUGUUAAGUACUGAUGAGGAACAUGAAAACAAAGAGUCAAACAGCAUUCAAUUAAUUUAUGUUUAGCCUAUUGUAUAUUUGAUUGUUGUUUUGACAGAUGAGUUCUCAUUUUAACAAAUGAUUAAUUUUUUCUUCAAGGAUGGAGAAUGCUCUAAGCCAACAUUGUAUGCGAUUGUAUCUUUGAAAGGCUCCUGUUUUGAGUAUUCAAUGUAAAAAAAUUAAUUUUCUAGAUAGAUAAGCGUGCAGAAAUGCUGUCAUUUGUACUCUUCUGCAGGGAUACAGCAUUUCAAUACACAAGAUGUCAUUAUGAUUGGAGGUCUUUCCAUUGGUAUUUGGAGCGCUAGCUGCAAGUGUAAUUCAAAACUUGCUAGGUUUCCUUCUACUCCAGGGUAGUAAGUCUAAGAAUACAGUAAAAAGGGUGGAACAAUAUUAAACUCAACAGAACACUAAAAGUAUCUUAUACUUUGUAUCAAUGCGAAGGAGUUUUGGCUUCAUGCCCAUCCAGCUUUAACUUGGAUAGGAAAUUGCUUCACAGUUUUAUUAACAGCAUGAAAUUACAUUGAGGCAGUUUGGCCACAAAAACAAAUGCAGAAUCUGGAAUUAAUCCACGGCAAAUAAAUCAUUCAUGUCUAUUAAUAUUAACCUUUA